rnacentral:rRNA from 1 species
AUUGAACGCUGGCGGCAGGCCUAACACAUGCAAGUCGAACGAGUGGCGGACGGGUGAGAAAUGUCUGGGAAACUGCUUGAUGACGGGGGAAAAUUACUGGAAACGGUAGCUAAUCCCGCAUACCAUCAGAUGUGCCAAGAUGGGAUUCGCUUGUUGGUGGGGUAACGGCUCACCAAGGCGAAGAUCCCUAGCGGGUCUGAGAGGAUGACCAGCCACACUGGAACUGAGACACGGUCCAGACUCCUACGGGAGGCAGCAGUGGGGAAUAUUGCACAAUGGGCGAAAGCCUGAUGCAGCCAUGCCGCGUGUAUGAAGAAGGCCUUCGGGUUGUAAAGUACUUUCAUCAGGGAAGCGGUACCCACAGAAGAAGCACCGGCUAACUCCGUGCCAGCCGCCGCGGUAAUAC